UGGGGAAUAUUGGGCAAUGGGCGAAAGCCUGACCCAGCGACGCCGCGUGAGGGAAGAAGGUCUUCGGAUUGUAAACCUUUGUAGACAGGGACGAAGAAAUGACGGUACCUGUAAAGUAAGCCACGGCCAACUCCGUGCCAGCAGCCGCGGUAAUACGGAGGAUGCGAGCGUUAUCCGGAUUUAUUGGGUUUAAAGGGUGCGCAGGCGGCGGAUCAAGUCAGCGGUCAAACUUCGGGGCUCAACCCCGUUUUGCCGUUGAAACUGAUCGGCUGGAGUCUGUUCGAGGGACGCGGAAUGCGAGGUGUAGCGGUGAAAUGCAUAGAUAUCACGCAGAACUCCGAUUGCGAAGGCGGCGUCCCGGGGCGGCACUGACGCUGAGGCACGAAAGUGUGGGUAUCGAACAGGAUUAGAUACCCUGGUAG
rnacentral:rRNA from 1 species